rnacentral:lncRNA from 1 species
UCCAAAUCUGCGAUAAAACUCAAUUUGAGAACUUUGAAACAUGACUAGAGUUCGAAACUUAGACGUUUCGUUCAAUAAGAAUCAAGAAAUUGAAAUUCACUUGGAGAAUACUCGUGAGAUACUCGCUCACUUUUUAAAUGAUAAAACUUUGUAACAUUUAUACUUGAAAUGGUCAUGCGAGUCGAAAGUACAAGGGAAAACGUAUUUUGAGCAAUCAUUAUUUCAUUUCUCAAGGGUACAAGUUCGGCCAAGUCCUUACUUAUAUACCUCGAACAAGAAGACUCAAGUACCCUAGAUGGUUCAAGUACUAUUCAUAUCAACUCGACCCAAGUCGCAAGUGUAUUUAUAUAGUCCUCGAGCGUAAAUUUGGGCAGCAUGCCCUUUGUGUUUACCUAAUUUUCCAGCCAUUUAGGCUUCAUUGUUUUUCUCAAACACAACCCAACAUCAUACAUAUAAGCAAUUCAGGUCAAGAGCCGUUCCAUAGGCUCACAAUAUCAUAAUAAUAAGAUUCGCAUCAAUAGCAAGAACAGAAAUUCCAUAUAGCCGAAAGACAGAUUUGACGUAUAAAAGCGGAAAUAACUU